CGGAGGGUCCUGGCUGAGCCUGACGGGAAUUCUUGCAGGAAAUAAUAAAAAAAAAAAAACCAGAAUCUAUGGAAAAAGUACACUCGCCCGAACAGGGACUUGAACCCUGGACCCUCAGAUUAAAAGUCUGAUGCUCUACCGACUGAGCUAUCCGGGCUCUGCUGUCUUGGGCGGGCCUGAAGCAAUAUCAGCGGUACAGGGCUGGUGCCGUGCCCUCUCACUGCUCUUAUCACCGCACAGCGGGGCGGCGCCUCUGGUUUUUCCAGGAAUUCGGAUCUCGGUGCGCGGUUCCCUCCCCUCGGGCCAAACAUGUAAUUAGACAAAAUAUUCUAAUUAUUUCUGUCCCCAAACCCAGCACACAGCAUCGGAUUUUUUUCUGUUGGCACCCAGCGGUUCCGCUUUGGUGGCUUCCCAAGCGCUGCCCCGGUGUUGGUUCGGAAUUUUCCAAACGUGGGGAUCGCAGCUUGGAAAGGAGCUCUGGAAAUAACUCAGUCCAGCCCCGCGGCGAGGCAGGGUGACCUGGAGCGGGUGACACAGGAAAGUGUGCGGUUUCUAAUGACUAUAGAUGGAUGUUCUAAUAUCCAGGUGGAUAUUCUAACAUCCAGGUGGAUAUUCCAGUGGAUAUUACAAUGCCCAGGAGAAUAUCCUCGUGUCCAGGCUGAGGCAGCACCGCCGGGGUCCUCCGCCCCGCUGGGGGGCGCCACAACCCACGGCAGCACCGCCUCCCUUCUAGCAGCACGUCCCCUCUCCUCUCUAUGGCCCCGCCGCCAUGUUGGCCGUGAGGGGAAGCGGCGGCCCGGACCCCGCUAAAAUGGAGGCGCGGAGUCCUCAGGGGGUGUAGGGGUUCUUUCCCCUCCCCGACCCCCAGCCCGGAGCCCAUGGAGCGGGUGUAGGGUGAGCAGGGCGCUGAGGGGAACGCGGGGGGCCCCGGGGGCGUGGGGGGGGGGGGGGGGGGGGGGGGGGGGGGGGGGGGGGGGGGGGGGGGGGGGGGGGGGGGGGGGGGGGGGGGGGGGGGGGGGGGGGGGGGGGGGGGGGGGGGGGGG
rnacentral:tRNA from 1 species